rnacentral:tRNA from 1 species
GCUGUGGCUCAGCUGCAGAGCAUCUGCUUGGUAUGCAGAUGGUCCCAGGUUCGACCCCAGCAUCACCA